rnacentral:rRNA from 1 species
UACGGAGGGUGCUAACGUUAUCCGGAAUCACUGGGCGUAAAGCGUCUGUAGGUGGUCAAAUAAGUCAACUGUUAAAUCUUGAGGCUCAACCUCAAAAUCGCAGUCGAAACUAUUCGACUAGAGUAUAGUAGGGGUAAAGGGAAUUUCCAGUGGAGCGGUGAAAUGCGUAGAGAUUGGAAAGAACACCGAUGGCGAAGGCACUUUACUGGGCUAUUACUAACACUGAGAGACGAAAGCUAGGGUAGCAAAUGGG